rnacentral:rRNA from 1 species
UACGUAGGGGGCAAGCGUUAUCCGGAUUUACUGGGUGUAAAGGGAGCGUAGACGGCAGUGCAAGUUUGAAGUGAAAGGCGGGGGCCCAACCCCCGGACUGCUUUGGAAACUGUGCUGCUGGAGUGCAGGAGAGGCAAGUGGAAUUCCUAGUGUAGCGGUGAAAUGCGUAGAUAUUAGGAGGAACACCAGUGGCGAAGGCGGCUUGCUGGACUGUAACUGACGUUGAGGCUCGAAAGCGUGGGGAGCAAACAGG